GUUAACUGGUGACUCUAAAUUACCCGUAGGUGUGAAUGUGAGUGUGAAUGGUUGUCUGUCUCUAUGUGUCAGCCCUGUGACUGACUGGCAACCUGUCCAUGGUGUACCUGUCUCUCUGACUGUCAGCUGGGUUCGGUUCCAGCCCCCCGCGACCCUCUAAAGGAUAAGCGGGUAUAGCUGAUGGAUGGUAUGUUGAGGAUAGACUGCAGGGGCUACAUUUAAUGUUGAUAGUUGUCAUUAAAAUCUGGGACGACUACAGAGAACUCCAUCAAUUGUGUGAGCAAAAAAAUAUACUUUUUCAUCAUUAUAACGAGGGCAGGUAUAAGGAAAAAUAACUCAAGAGAACAGUUUUCAGCUGGCAGUGUUUGUUUAUUCAACAAGGCACAAUGAGCCACAUAAAGUAUGAAAGCUCCAACUAGAGGUGAUGAUACAUCACAACAACAACUUGUAGAUUUCUACAAGACACACUGUACUCAGAGAGAGUAAAGGAACAACUGUCUUUACAAAAGACAAACAAUUUACAAUAUUUGAGGACACAGUACUCACUGUAUUUUAACAAUAUAUAUAACACAUUUGCACUUAGUGAACAAACGAAACAAUAUUAAAGACUGACCUUACAACAGGUCACAUUGUUCUUAACUGAAUUCAGUUGAUUCUAAAAUGUUACAUUGUCACUAGAAAACUGUGACAAUAUGACAUUAAAGAAACCUUUACAGUAAAAGGAUAAACAUAUUGAUCUUAAAACAGAUCAUUUUUCAAUAAUCACAUAAAGUGAGAGAAAGUCCAUUAUGACAAAAUGUCCAUAAAAAGAACAGGUAAGAUUUAGAUCAAUUCAAAAUCAUCAAUACCUAUCAAAAGGUAAUAAAUAUCUCCAUGCACUAUAUUGUACCAACACAUGACGUGCAGUGAGACAUAAAAGUAUCACA